AAUGAAGAUGUCAACUUCUUUUGUGAAAAGCAUGAAAACAUAGGCGGUGAAGGAAACCCGACUGCUAUGCGAUGUCUCUCUCUACUAUCCACCUCUUGAGAAGUUGCAGUUAAGCAAAGUCAAAUUCGGUCAAUUGAGGCGUGAGGAACACAGUGAUUACGGCUCCCGAGUCGCCGACACUGUUGAGCGAACACUGCCAGGGUCAGGGAAACAAAUUCCAGAUCCAAUGGACCACAGAGGGAGGAACCAGUGAGAACCCGGCCGACUGCUACACUGUAGAAUACAGGUCAUCGAACCAGGGCGCGGAUUGGAUUAACUUUGAAGGUGUGGAGAUGACUCAUUGUCACUUGAGGGACCUCCUGUAUGACACAGAUUAUACAGUGCGGGUGAGGGCUGUAAACAGCAGUGGCCACAGUGACUACAGCGACUCAAUCAUACUACGCACUGGCACUCUGCCCAUCCAGUUUGCACUGGACAACAACACUGCUCAUGUCAGUUUGAAGAUUACUGGCAACACAGCGCAGUAUGACAGAG